rnacentral:rRNA from 1 species
UACGGAGGGGGCUAGCGUUGUUCGGAAUUACUGGGCGUAAAGCGCGCGUAGGCGGUUCUUCAAGUCAGAGGUGAAAGCCCGGUGCUCAACACCGGAAUUGCCUUUGAAACUAGGGAACUUGAAUCCAGGAGAGGUGAGUGGAAUUCCGAGUGUAGAGGUGAAAUGCGCAGAUAUCAGGAAGAACACCCGUGGCGAAGGCGGCUCUCUGGUACGUGACUGACGCUGAGACGCGAAAGCGUGGGGAGCAAACAGG